GACGAACGCUGGCGGCGUGCUUAACACAUGCAAGUCGAACGGAAAGGCCCUGCUUUUGUGGGGUGCUCGAGUGGCGAACGGGUGAGUAACACGUGAGUAACCUGCCCUUGACUUUGGGAUAACUUCAGGAAACUGGGGCUAAUACCGGAUAGGAGCUCCUGCUGCAUGGUGGGGGUUGGAAAGUUUCGGCGGUUGGUGAUGGACUCGCGGCUUAUCAGCUUGUUGGUGGGGUAGUGGCUUACCAAGGCUUUGACGGGUAGCCGGCCUGAGAGGGUGACCGGCCACAUUGGGACUGAGAUACGGCCCAGACUCCUACGGGAGGCAGCAGUGGGGAAUAUUGCACAAUGGGCGGAAGCCUGAUGCAGCAACGCCGCGUGCGGGAUGACGGCCUUCGGGUUGUAAACCGCUUUCGCCUGUGACGAAGCGUGAGUGACGGUAAUGGGUAAAGAAGCACCGGCUAACUACGUGCCAGCAGCCGCGGUGAUACGUAGGGUGCGAGCGUUGUCCGGAUUUAUUGGGCGUAAAGGGCUCGUAGGUGGUUGAUCGCGUCGGAAGUGUAAUCUUGGGGCUUAACCCUGAGCGUGCUUUCGAUACGGGUUGACUUGAGGAAGGUAGGGGAGAAUGGAAUUCCUGGUGGAGCGGUGGAAUGCGCAGAUAUCAGGAGGAACACCAGUGGCGAAGGCGGUUCUCUGGGCCUUUCCUGACGCUGAGGAGCGAAAGCGUGGGGAGCGAACAGGCUUAGAUACCCUGGUAGUCCACGCUGUAAACGGUGGGUACUAGGUGUGGGGUCCAUUCCACGGGUUCCGUGCCGUAGCUAACGCUUUAAGUACCCCGCCUGGGGAGUACGGCCGCAAGGCUAAAACUCAAAGGAAUUGACGGGGCCCCGCACAAGCGGCGGAGCAUGCGGAUUAAUUCGAUGCAACGCGUAGAACCUUACCUGGGUUUGACAUGGAUCGGGAGUGCUCAGAGAUGGGUGUGCCUCUUUUGGGGUCGGUUCACAGGUGGUGCAUGGCUGUCGUCAGCUCGUGUCGUGAGAUGUUGGGUUAAGUCCCGCAACGAGCGCAACCCUUGUUCACUGUUGCCAGCACGUUAUGGUGGGGACUCAGUGGAGACCGCCGGGGUCAACUCGGAGGAAGGUGGGGAUGACGUCAAGUCAUCAUGCCCCUUAUGUCCAGGGCUUCACGCAUGCUACAAUGGCUGGUACAGAGAGUGGCGAGCCUGUGAGGGUGAGCGAAUCUCGGAAAGCCGGUCUCAGUUCGGAUUGGGGUCUGCAACUCGACCUCAUGAAGUCGGAGUCGCUAGUAAUCGCAGAUCAGCAACGCUGCGGUGAAUAAGGGCCCGGGGCU
rnacentral:rRNA from 1 species